rnacentral:misc_RNA from 1 species
CCAUCCUUACAUACCUUUAGAUGGAAUUUCAGUGUGUGGUAAUUAAAUAAUGCAUUUUUUGAAAAAAUCAGAAAAAAAUGAAAAACUCUCUAAGUACUUCAACAGUUAAUGGCAUAUUAAAUUGUGAAAUUUUUACAAAAGUCAUCGCAAUGUAUGACAGAAAGCUUUAUUUAGGAGGACCAUAUUUAUAUUUAUUGGAUUUUUGUUGUGGACUUUUAAUCAAAAUGAUAAGCAUAAACCUUAUAGGGCAUGUUAUUAAAAAAAUAAUGUAUUUAUAUUUUUAGAUAUAUAUGUAUAUACCAUGUUUUAUGACAAUUGCAAAUUACAUGUAUUAGGGUGAGAACCUAGUACGUUGCAAGAACUUGUGUUCGAAACUUUUGUAAAUUAUAUAUGUACAGUAAAAUAUGUUCAAACCAAAUAUGUUUAGAUAAUUAUAAGGGAAAUUUAAUAAAUUUUACAUAAUU